rnacentral:tRNA from 1 species
UUAAGGGUGCCAGAUUAGAAUGGGCAGGGUUUAGGACCUUGUUAUGGUAUGGUUGCCCCCUUAGU